UGGGCAACCUGCCCCAGACACUGGGAUAACUCCGGGAAACCGGGGCUAAUACUGGAUAUGACUCGAACAGGCAUCUGUUCCGGGUGGAAAGAUUUAUUGGUGGAGGAUGGACUCGCGGCCUAUCAGCUUGUUGGUGGGGUGAUGGCCUACCAAGGCGACGACGGGUAGCCGGCCUGAGAGGGUGACCGGCCACACUGGGACUGAGACACGGCCCUGACUCCUACGGGAGGCA
rnacentral:rRNA from 1 species